UACGUAGGGGGCUAGCGUUGUCCGGAAUCAUUGGGCGUAAAGCGCGCGUAGGCGGCCCGGUAAGUCCGCUGUGAAAGUCCAGGGCUCAACCCUGGAAAGCCGGUGGAUACUGGCGGGCUAGAGUCCGGAAGAGGCGAGUGGAAUUCCUGGUGUAGCGGUGGAAUGCGCAGAUAUCAGGAGGAACACCAAUGGCGAAGGCAGGUCGCUGGGACGGUACUGACGCUGAGGCGCGAAAGCGUGGGGAGCGAACAGG
rnacentral:rRNA from 1 species